GGGGUUGUGGCUCAGUGGUAGAGCGCUUGCCUAGCAUGCACAAGGCCAUGAGUUUGAUCCUCAGCACCA
rfam:Ictidomys tridecemlineatus contig059495, whole genome shotgun sequence.